GACGAACGCUGGCGGCGUGCUUAACACAUGCAAGUCGAGCGGUAAGGCCCUUUCGGGGGUACACGAGCGGCGAACGGGUGAGUAACACGUGGGUGACCUGCCCUCAGUUCUGGGAUAAGCCUGGGAAACCGGGUCUAAUACUGGAUAUGACCUCAUGACGCAUGUUGUGGGGUGGAAAGCCUUGUGCGACUGAGGAUGGGCCCGCGGCCUAUCAGCUUGUUGGUGGGGUGAUGGCCUACCAAGGCGACGACGGGUAGCCGGCCUGGGAGGGCGACCGGCCACACUGGGACUGAGACACGGCCCAGACUCCUACGGGAGGCAGCAGUGGGGAAUCCUGCGCAAUGGGCGAAAGCCUGACGCAGCGACGCCGCGUGAGGGAUGACGGCCU
rnacentral:rRNA from 1 species